rnacentral:lncRNA from 1 species
AUGGAUUUAUUUUUAUUUUCUUUAUUUUUUUUUUAUUUGGGUUUAUUUUAUCCCUUUCUCAGCUUGAGCUCAUUCUUCCAUCAAAGAGAAGAGAAGAGAAAAAUGAAUGUUUUGGAGGUGGAGGAAGAUGGAGGAAACAGAAAAGGGAAAAGCUGCAGUAAUAUCUGGGAUCUUUUAGGAGUUUGGUGGAUUUUUUUUGCUCACAUACAGGCAUUGCACCCAUGGCCAGAACCUAAUCCUGGAUGCCUCCAACUCCUGCCAAGAGCCUGGUCUGCUCCAGCCUUAAAAGGUUCUGGAAGAGUGAAACCAACAUUCCAGUAGACUCCAAAAUACUGGAGUAGACUACAAAAUACUGGAGUUCAUUCAUAUGAUGAUGCCCAGUGACUUUUGAACCCACUUCCUUGUCAGGGUGGUGAGGCUGCCAGGAGAAGCUGUGGCUGUCCCUGGACCCCUGGAAAUGUCCAAGUCCAGGCUGGAUGGGGCUGGGAGCACCCUGGGACAGCUGAAGGUGUCCCUGCCCAUGGCAGGGCGUGGAAUGGGAUGAGCUUUAAGAUCCCUUCCAAUCCAGGCCAUACUAGGAUGAAAAUUCCAUUGGUGGGGUCACCUCUGAGGGUCUGAAGAGAGGAUUUUUCACCUUCCUUUGUGUGUCAGGAGGGACAAACCUUAGGCAAUGACAGACCCUUAUCAAUUGAUGAAGGUUGUGUGGGCAAUUCCCCGCUCAAGAUCAGACACAUAGUCCUCUCAUUCUGCACAACCUGGGUGACUCUGACCUCAACACCUGCAAUCCUACAGGAAUCUCCCUCAAGAAGAGCUUCCAGAGCCUUUGCACUCUCGCAGAUGAAUGUGCACAUUCCCAAAGUCCUCCUAGGAAAGCCUUAGGCAGGUUACUCGGUUGGUUGUUUUUCCCUCUGGUGCUUGCAAUCCUCAAUUGCCACUUGCUGGGAGGGUGGAAUGAGUUGUUGAGGCUGUCAGGGCUGUGCAGCACAUAAUGAAGUGCACACACGUACAUCUAUACAUUCAUACGUGGGCAGGCUUAUGUUGUGAUGCUGUAAUACAGCUUAAUUAGGACAUCACUCAGGCAUCUGGGACUAUGCCUAAGCUAGAGAUUUUUUUUAUUUUGGUUUUCUCAUUUAGGUUCUAGUUGGAUUCCCAAGUGAAAUAAACAAAAGGCUAAUUGCUUUUGGAUUUUAAUU